GUUAGCAAUGAUCUAGAUAAUACUUAGUCCUUCCAUGAGUGCAGGGGAAUAGAUUAGACUUUCCAGUCCUAUAUUUCUAUGAUUCUAUUAUUGCGGUUCUGGCUAUAUGAAAGAUGCCUCUCACCAAGCAUUACUAUGGCCGAUGAGAUCUGCUGAAACACUCAAGCUAACAGUCCUGAUAUGUAAACAUCAGGGAAUUCUAAUAGUCCUCAGAGAGUAGUUAACUGCAGAAUUCACUUCUCCUGUUGAUCUAUAGGAGCCUGAGUUUGAUGACCCCUAACUUUAAGAUAUCUUUGCUCAGGGUUUUGGUUGAGGGAGGACUAGGGAACAGGUGCAAGUGUAUUUGGAAGAGAGUUUUUGUUGAAAUAACGUAACAAGUCUUAAAAGGAGCCAAGGUAUAGAUGAAGAUUCUCAAACCCACGCAGACAAUCAGAGAAGCUUUCUGAAUUCCAUAGUCCUGAAGAAGGCUUAUCUUCACAUUCCCAUUCUGCUUUCCCACAGAGCAGUCCUCUGAUUGGCAAAUGGAUGGCAGCUAUUUCGAAUCCAAUAGUUACCAUACAGUUUGGCCUGUGCUCCCAGCCUGUUUUCCAGGAUUGUGUUAGUAUUAUGGAGGCACUGGUCACAGCUCCAUUGUUAAGGUUGAGGUGAAUUUUGCACUUAUCUAUGAAAUAUACAGCAUAUCCUCCCUAAAAUUACAGCAUGUAUUCUGAGAAGAAUGCAGGGGGUGCAAAUUGGAGAUACAAAUUGAAGGAGAGGCAAAUUGUGAUCUGUGCAUGCAAGGGAGAGCAGAGAACAGGAGAAGGGGAAAUUGUGGUGUAUUUGUGCAGGGGAACAUGGAGGCCAGGUGUAUUCUCUGGCUGCUUUGUGGUGUUCUAGUGACACAAAGCAGCUUAUAACCUGGUCUAUUUGGCCAAUACACUAUGGCUUGUUUAUGCUGCUCCAGAGUGGCAGAAAGCAACGAGAGUGUAUCAAUGAAUCUGGUCCUAAAAGUUAAAAUUCAAAAAAUUAUUUAAGGCUGAUAUUAUUUAUCUUCCAAUCAUUAGAGAUAUCAUGGUGCAGUUCUCUGUAGUUCUUCUUCAGUAGGUUCAUGUAUGACAUUUUUAAUAAUUUUAAAAUACGUAUAUUCCCUACAAAACCCACAUUAGGGUGGAGAUAAGGUUGAGAGUAUGUAUCAGUAUCUGGAUAAAAUACCUUAUAGGGAUCAUAGAAGUGUAGGGUUGGAAGGGACCUCAAUAGGUCAUCUAGUCCAGUCCCUUGCACUCAAGGCAGUACUAAUUAAUAACUUGACCAUUUCUGACAGGUGUUUAUCUAACCUGUUCUUAAAAACCUCCAGUGAUGGCAAUUCCACAACUUCCCUAGACAAUGUGGAUGUUGUAAUUGUAUCAGAAACUAGCAUUAUAAAGCCAGGAAAUGAAAAGUGAAGAUCACACUUACAAGAAAUCCAAAUAUGUCACUACGGGUCAGAGUUAAGGUUGUUUGGCUGCCGUAACUGUUCAUUUCCAUACCUUAAAAUAUUUGGAUUUAUUUUAAACUGUGAUUUUAUUGUAUUAUGGUUGUGUCUAGAACCUUAUAUAGGUGUCUUAUUGUUAUGUACAUCUAAAUUGAAUUAACUUGGGUUUAUAAUGCCUAAGUUACUGAUCUGACUUUCAGCCUUAACUCAAUCUUAAUAUUGUUUUGUUUGGGAAUUAAUAAUAGCUUUCAGCAAGAAGGGAAUUAAUUCCUAUCUGGAUAAUUCUGCUAACCAGAGCUUUGUGCAGAGAGAAAGCUGAAGUAAGAAGGCACUAAGAUAUGAUAAACACAGAAGAAAGCCAUACAGAGACAGGGAAGAUAUCAGAGACCAGGGGUGUGUGUGGUGGGGUGUGACAUUUCCUGGGAUAUCUAGGGUUGUGAGGCACCUCGCUACCACCUGACCUUAGCGUGAGUAAGCCUUGUCUGGCUGGCAUGGGUCAGCUUCCCUACUCCACUAGCCAAGGGCAACACAAGCACUUCCCUCUGAGCCUGCAUAGGCUCCUCUGUCUCUCUACAGGUUAGUGAAAGGCACGCUCCAAACCCUGAGCUCUUUGAGAGUCCCACUGGAAUGUCCAGCCCCUGGUCCACUGGAUGUUCACAGUAUUCCCAGAUCUGCUGCUUCCAAAGAAACAGUACAGCCCCAGCUUACCAGUUACACCUCAGAUCACUGCUCCGUUUACUGUUUAUAGUGAAAUCAGGAAUAGGUUUAACAAAAUAUAGCAAUUCAAAGUCAUAGCAAGUAGAAGUAUUGGGGGAAAAAAUGGUUAUGUGUAAAAUUAUAAUACAUUCUAGAGCGUAGACUUAAUUAACAAGAGACUCUCUUGUCUAAUAAAGUAGUGCUUACCAAAGCUUUACAGCCAGGCUGGCUGUGACCCCUCUUUCAUGAGGCAUAACAUGCUGUCAGCUUGCCUCCUCGGUAAUGGGUCCAGGGUGUUAAUUGGUACCCCUAGGUACAUCAGAACAAUCCUUUGUCCUUAUUCAUAAACAGGACCUCACCCCCACUGAUUGUUUCUUCCUGUGGCUUUCCUCUCUUGUGGAUUUCUCAAUCUCUCAAAUGGCAUCAGGGUCAGUAUGCAGAUAGGCGUACGCUGUAAGGCAGACAAGGAACAUAUCAGACCGGGAGAGAGGCACCUGUUAUCACCUGCCUGAAAAGAACAUUCCUGAGGUAUGUUACCUCCUGGUGAUCUGCCUUAAUCCCAAGUCUUUAAGAACAUACUUUUCAGUAUAGAUACAUCACUUCUUAAUAAUUAUCUGUACAGGCUUUUCCCACCCUUUGGUGAACUAAUGUGCAUAUAAACCCUGUGAACCUCGUGUGCUCUCCGCCAGUUGGCUCCAAGAGGCCUUGGGUCACAUGGAGGUGAUAAGGUUACUAUCAGGUACAAAGUGUUCUUUUCACAGGAACGUUAACGAAAGAUGAAGAUUGCCAUACAAAGAACAAGAAGGUACCACAGAAAUAAAAUCCAGUCUCUAUUGGAGCCUAGUAGGAAUGUUGAUCUUAUGCCCAGAUCUGCUCAAAUUGGACCAUAGUUCAUGGGACUUUGACUACUGCCAAUCGUCUGUUCUGCAGGGCCUCCACACUGUGGAGAAUCAGACUUGUGGCUAUGAUAGCAUGCCUGCUGCAGUUUGGAUAAAUAAAGUGCGGCAAUAUGAACAACCCUACACCAGCGAGAGGCUUAGAGCAGAGCAAGAUUCCCUCUCUAUGUACUGCUCAUCAAGGAGAAGAUGAACCCCAGAGUUCACUGGUUUACAGGCAGAAGUUAGAUUAAGCAGAGUAGACCCCAGCAAGUAAGUGUGGUAAGUUUGGGGAGGAUAUGCUGUAUUCAUAUAUAAUACAAAAUGUUGAAUCCCAGCUUUAAGUGCAAGGCUCAGCUCCACCAUAUCUAUUGAGAUAUGACCAGCACCUCCGUAAUUAGUAGGGUUACAUCCUAAUCUUGGAUGUGCGCAUGUUACUGUGUAUGCUCAGAGAAACCAUAACUGUAAACAUCUGUGGACUCACAGGGGCAGGUUUUUGAGCCAUGGUCAGUGUAUGCCAGAUUCAAGACUCAGUUUAUAAAAACAGAGAUUUUUUUAAAAGCUCCUGAACACCUUUUUAUCUCUUCCUGACAAAGUCUGGCCAUUUAGCAGCCUUGGUUUAAUUCUCCGACUUAAGUCAUUGAUUUACACUGCUACACAGUUAUCCUGAUGUGCUAUCAGGUUCCUGGUUGUCCCCGUUGGUGAAUAUUUAUAUAUUGUUGCCCAUGGGCAAGACAGUGGUUGAUUCUAGGGCCUUGCAAGAGGUGGAAAGAAACUGAUGUAAUGGAGUCAGUUCUGGCGUAACCUGUUUAUUUACACCAUAUUUUUAUUGACACAAUGCACGGGAGCCCUCUUACUCUUAAUCUGAGAGAGAUUCACCUACACAUAGGCAGCUCCAGAAUUCUCAGCUCAGUCACCCUGAGAUGCUACCUGAAACAGCUGCCUCCAUCACUGACUCUUCAGGUCUCCAACCAUCCUCUUAACUACCCCAGACCUUCCCCACGUGGCUGCCCUGUAGCCCCCCAAGCAGGAUCCAGAAUAGCAGCAGCAGCUUCAUCCUCGGCAGAUUCAUCACACUGAUCUACUCCUGGCUGGAAGAUUCAUUAUAAUAGCACUGAGGCUCCUAUUGUGCUGAUCUCUGUGAUAAAUCUGAACAGAGGUGGUGAUAUAGCUGUAUAAUAAUAUGCAGUGGUUACAGAACUGUACAGUAGGGUGCAAUACCGUCUAAGGUCCAGAGUUCCAAAUUUGUCCAUGUUUGGAAUACAGGAUCAAUUAGUCGUUGUGAGAAACACAGAUCUCCUAAUACUGACAGCACCCAUGAAGUUUUAUAUCUUAUUCAGAGGCCUUUCUCAUCUUGUGCCACAUUUUGAUUGUAUCUUGUACCUGUAUAUGGGGAUGGUUCACAGCUGUAACAUACAAAUAAUCACUCUUGCAAAAUCCAGCCUUUAUUAAAGCAGCUAGAGGAGAUGUAAAUUAUUGUAUUCUCAGUCAAGUGCUAUCCUUUGGCUCUUAAGUCUAAUGUGCAAUGUAUUCUAGAAGAAUCACCUAAAAGGACUCUUUGAAAUCAGCCCAUAUCACCCUUCUCUUUUGGGCAACUGAAUUUAUUUAAAGCAACAUGUGGUUUCUUACCCCUCCAUAAGAAAUCAGCGACAAUUCUAUAAAGGUUAACAAAAAGAUUAUUUAAAUUAAAGGGAUAUGUCUGGAUUGGAUAUAAUAUCUUGGACAGGAUAUUAACCUAUUCUAUCCAAUAACAAUACAGGGAGUUUUUCCCCAUUUAAUAAGGUAUUAACAUCAAUAAUUAUUCUGUGUAAUUUUAUAUGAAAAAUUGGCACUAUCAAAACCUCUGUAUAGCCUAUUUGGAAAUGUAAAGCUUGGGCUUACAUGAGUUUUAUGAAGAAAGUGUAUUCUAUUUUGUGCACUAUUAUGUCACAUCUGAAUUCCUGAGAAGUUAUUCAACUAUCCAUAGUAAAUGGUUGACCAUACCUAUACGAUGAUUCCUCACCUAUUAAGUCAUUCAAAAAGCUCCUGAUUAAAAUGUACAUGUUAAAUAUUGUGAAUAUCUGCAACUGUUAAACAUUGAAAUAAACUCCCUGUAACCUGGUACAACCAAUAUUUUCAUACUUUUAUAUAUCUGACCGAAAAUAAGUUUCAACCUGUCCAGCUAUUCUAAACAAUACCAUGAUGCAAGAAAAGGCCUGAAAUCAAAUUUGGAACUUUCCCCAUGCUCAAUGAGAAAAAUGGAUAUGAUUUUGAACUAAAACAAUUCCCUGUGGAAAGAUUAAAUGUCGGGGAAGGAAGUGAAAUAUAUGAAAGCUACUGAAUUUAAAUAUUUGCUUUCUAAGUAAUGCUAAAAAUCAACCACUGGGUCUGACAAGAGGAGAAUUCUUCCACCCCAUCUCCCUCUUCUACUAGAGAAUGGACCUACUGAUUUUGAGUCAGAAAUUUAUCUCCCUUUUACAGUCCAUAUAACACUGCCUAUGUCUAAAUAUGCUUUAAAAGUUCUCUGUAAACUUUUUUUUAAUUAUACACAAAACAAGUUAAAACUUCAUUAAUCUAGAACAAAGAAAAGAUUAGCACAAAACUUUUAAACAUGAUUCCAGUUAAACCAACUGGAAUGGAAAGGUAGAUUUUUAAACAUCUUGUUUACUGUCUGAUGGCCAGACCUUAAUUUUCCUGGAAGCUCAAACUACAAUGAACAAGAAAACUGGGCUCCAGAGGAAUGACACAUUAACUAGAUGAAUGGCAGGGGAAGGAAGACAGAGUUUGGGGCAUCCCCAAAGUUCUCCUACCGGUAUGGCUAAUCUAAAAGUGAGUUUUGUGGAACUGGGCACCGGAACUGUUUUGUGGACUUGGAAGUGAACGUGUGCUGAAGUUUUGGCUUCCCUUGACCUGGUGCACCUCAGAAUCCAUCUCAGCGCUGCUGAGGGCAGUGUCUCAAUCCCAGGAGAGAGCAGGGAAUAGAAAAAAUAGAAAUUGUUUUAAGGUUUCAGUCCCAACAAUGCUGCCCUGUCAGAAAGGGAAUACACCCAUUGGGUUUUCUGAUGUCCUGAAAACAAGGAUGGUCCCCUGGGCUAAAGCUCUUUAGCUGUCCCUUUUCCUCUCUGUAGCCCACCAGAAGCAUUGGACAAAUCACUUCCCAUUUCCCUCUCUGUAAAACCCUUUCUGUCCUGGUAAUUUUCAGAGUCCCUCAUUAAAAGGGAUCUCUCUAUUGGAGCCUGACUGAUGUAGAGUGAUGAUCACAGAUGCCAGCCUAUUUGGAUGGGGUGGCUCUUUCGGGGUGCACAAAAGUUUAGGAGAAAUUAUGUCUCUGCUCCUGUCACUAUUGGGAGGAGAUUAUCAGGGCACUUAGUAACUGGGCAACCGUUAACUGCUAUUUUUUUUUAAAGGAAUGUGUCAGUUAUAAGAGCCCAGGUAUACACAUUGCUCUCACCUAGAGACUCUCUGGUCCAUUCACCAAGCUUCCUUUGAUCCUCUGAGCUCCAUAUUUAUGUGACUGUCAAUCCAUAGAUCUUACCUUGGUUGCCAUAGUUUCCAUGAGGAGGGCUCAGGAGGUGGCUGUUGUAUGUAUAUAGUUUUUUCACUCAUGACCUUGGUGUCUGGGCCUUCUAGUGUCUUCGCCUCACUUCCUUGGUGUUUCACCAAGACAAAGUGGUUUUAAGAAUGAUUCCUUCCUGUGACGGGGUGCUUGACGCACCUCUAGGAUGGUACCUCCUCCUGGUCACUCUGGGGUUAGCUUGUGAUAUUGACACCCCUUUCAUGCCGUCUCUCCUCCUCUCUCUCUGGGUCUGCAGUCCCUUUCUCGCUCCACGAGCUGCAGCCUCCUCUUCGUGACUCAGCCCUCCGGGCAGCUCACUAUCCAUUUCCUCCUUCGGGAGUAUCAAAAUCUUCCUUCAGCAAUCUUGGGCAGUAGUCUUUCCUAACCAGGAUUCUCAGGCAGUCUUCCCAGUCACUGCUGCAUAGUGCCACUCCCUCAGUGGCUGGCAGGGGAACUGGGGACUAACUUCUACUCUGGGUUGCAGCUCAGGGACCCUCUAACCACCAGGCCAGACCUGUUCCCCCCUGGACCUUACUGCCUUUCCCUGAGCCCUUUCCUCACCAUCUGGCUUUCCUACCCCAGUUUGCUAGCUUCAUCACUUCCUCCUCCCUGGCCGCUCCUUCCAGGGGAAGAGGAAAUCCCGUCCUCCCCAGCCCAGCUGGGACUAGCAGCUGAGCCCAGCACAGGGUAGGAGCCACCAGACGAGGCAUCUCCAGCUUUGCCCCCCACUGCCAUGAUUUACUUCUCUGGUAGUUACUCCAGGCACCAGAAACGACAUGCCUGAACUGCUGGGGAGGAGUGCAUGAUCACUUUUGCAGCUUUCCUCUUUUUUCCUGUAAGAAGUUAUUUUUCUGUGGGGAAGCAAAGAAAUCUGUGGGGAACAUGAAUUCUGUGCACAUGCAGUGGUGCAGAAUUCCCCCAGGAGUAACUGCAAAAUGACAGGGCAUGGACCUGAGUCACAGUGGGACUCUGGCUCUGACCCACCCUCCUAGAAGGGUACUAGGACCCGAGUCCUGAGUACUUGCUGACCCAAGUCAGACUAACUUGUGUGUAGACGGGAGCAGGGCUUGGGCUCAAACCUGAGUCAGAGCCCGAGCUUAGCGAGCAGUGUAGAUAUACCUUCUGAGUAUAGUGCUGAGAAUAGGCUCUCUUCACUAAUUUCCAACCCGUUCUCUCAAUGUGAGACUGCUGGAGAGAGUGCUGCAUUCCAGACCAGCAUAUAGGAGUUGUAGGUAUUAGAAUAUCUCUAAACAGUUUUUUAGUAUCUCCCACGCACCAGUCUGGAACGGCCUCCUCUUGUGUUACUGAACAGACAUGGAUUUCUGGAAUCAGUAGGAGUUCAUUGAUUUUAGUAUGCAGAAGCAUUUGUGUUACUACUUUGGUAGCUUCUGCAGCUUUUACAGUCAACCUAUUGUUCGCAGAUUAUCCAUUGUCAUUCAGGGACCAGAGUACAAUACAUGCUUUUUACUAAUUUAACUGAAUCUUUUUAACACUCUCCCUAUUAACAUUCUUCUUCUUUUUGAGGGCCAUAAAAACUUCCUCUAAGCAUUAUGGGAGACACAUGUUGGGAACUAGAGUCCUUGGCACCAAAAUAUUCCUUAAAUGUGAUUAGUGAUACUGUGUCUUAGUCCUGUGAUGUCACAAGACCCCUCAUCAUUCCAUAGUGGUGUACUGGAGAUGCAGAAAUAGAAUUUUUACCUGAAAAUAGUAACUUCCCAGAUUUUUGUCUUCCUGUUAUUCUCGACUCCAGACCCAUCUCCAGACCCAUUCUGUCCACACUAAAAUCUCAGCCUGUCUCUCUGACAUCUCUUGGAUGUCUAGCUAUCAGCUCAAGUUCAAUAUGGCUAAAACCAAGCUCACAAUCUCUCUCCCAAUGUCCUUUCUUGAUCACAAUACUACCUUCCUGUCACUCAGGCCCAUAACCUGGCACCAUCUUCAACCCAGACCUCUCUCUCUGCCCUCGCAUUCAGACUAUAUCUAAAUAUUGCAGAUUCUUUAAGAAAAACAUUUUCCCAUCUACCCAAGCAGCUAAAACUCUUGUCCAGGCUCUCAUCAUUUCACUUUGUGAUUAUUGCAAUAUCCUUGUCUCUGACCUUGACAAAUGCAAUCCUAUCCUGCUUCUAACCAUUGAGAAUGCUGCUGCAAAGAUUGUUCUCCUAUCCCAGGGGUAAGCAACCUAUGGCAUGCGUGCCAAAGGCGGCACGCGAGCUGAUUUUCAGUGGCACUCA